UUGCAAAGAAUGGGGUGGGGGGGCAGGAUAGGACCUGCCUGUGUCAGGUUGUGAAAGAAUAAGACCACAACUUGCUGUUAAUCCCAUCUCUUCUUCAAGGGAUAUACAGUUCAGGAGGGCUAAUACAUUUUCUGCUUUCCUCUGGGAUCAAAGUAGCAGUAAACUGACAUGGCUGAUGAAGAAGUAAUAGUGGAGGAGCAGCAGUAAG